rnacentral:lncRNA from 1 species
UUGGGGUUGGCAGGGGUCGGAACUGAGGAAACGGCGGAGAGGGGUCGGAUCUCAAGGGUCGGGACCGGGACUGGAGGUUGAGCACUUGAACUCAGUAAAGCUGAGACAGGGAGAUUAGGGACUCGGAUUAAGAUUAACUCGAGAGAUUUGGGGUCGGUCGUCACAGCCUACCCCCUUAAAAGGAAUCUCGUCCCGAGAUUCAGGUGUAAGAGUAACUACUGGGGGUGCACAGUCCUUACCUCCUUGACGAGAAAGAAAACCUUG